AGAGUGGCGCAGUCAGUCAGCGCACAGUACUUACACAGCAGUACAAACCCAAGUAAUGCUGAGGCUGUGGGUUCGAACCUCACCUUU
rnacentral:tRNA from 1 species